rnacentral:lncRNA from 1 species
CUUCUGAUAUGAAUGUGGUGUUCCUCCUACCAUCAACUUCUUUUUCACCCUAUACUCCAUGAGCCAUUCUAGAGAGAUAGGUUUUCAUCAAAUAAACAAGUAGCAUACUAAGAAAAUAGAAAAAUAAGCCCUAAUAAAAACCCCUUCAAGCAAUAAAGGAUGACAUUCAUAAUGGUUUUACAUCGACGGACCCAACAUCCAUUAACUGCCAAAUUGGGUUAAAGCUUCCAGGCCCAACAU